GAUGGACGCUGGCGGCGUGCCUAAUACAUGCAAGUCGAGCGAACGGACGAGAAGCUUGCUUCUCUGAUGUUAGCGGCGGACGGGUGAGUAACACGUGGAUAACCUACCUAUAAGACUGGGAUAACUUCGGGAAACCGGAGCUAAUACCGGAUGAUAUUUUGAACCGCAUGGUUCAAAAGUGAAAGACGGUCUUGCUGUCACUUAUAGAUGGAUCCGCGCUGCAUUAGCUAGUUGGUAAGGUAACGGCUUACCAAGGCAACGAUGCAUAGCCGACCUGAGAGGGUGAUCGGCCACACUGGAACUGAGACACGGUCCAGACUCCUACGGGAGGCAGCAGUAGGGAAUCUUCCGCAAUGGGCGAAAGCCUGACGGAGCAACGCCGCGUGAGUGAUGAAGGUCUUCGGAUCGUAAAACUCUGUUAUUAGGGAAGAACAUAUGUGUAAGUAACUGUGCACAUCUUGACGGUACCUAAUCAGAAAGCCACGGCUAACUACGUG
rnacentral:rRNA from 1 species